UUUAAAAUUUUAAAUUCAAAUAUAAUAAGAAGGAUAAUAUCAUUAUUUUUUAUUUAUAACUACCCAUUUUAAUUCUUAUUCCAUCUUACUUAACCAAACGCCAUUUUUUUUUUAUUUUCAGGAAUAAUCCAAUUUUCAUCGAAACGUAAAAUAAUUUAAUCUCCGCUUAUACCUCAAUUUAUACAUAUUUUUGGAAUAGCCACUUUUUGCUUAUCCCCGAACCAAACGAUACCUAAGAGAAUGACGUAAAAAUAUAUAUAUGUUGUAGGAAGGAAAGAAAAGAAAAGAAAAAAAAAGCUCUCCUCUUUGGUUUUCUCCAGUUGAAUAGAUCAGCAUUGUAACUCAAUCACCCUAAGCUAAUAGCGCUCUUGCAGGAACAAUUGUUUUUGGCGAACUGAUGCAUUCGUAUAUCUCGUGUAAUAUUGGAACUCGCCAUUCGUCAAUUUCAUAUUCCAUAGUUAUUACCAUCAACUAAUUGGUGGUUUCACGAGUUUGUGGUGCAAGGUUAAUGGCGGGGAUUGAAACCUAAGAUGUAAUAGAUGAUAUUGCAGUACUGUAUAAGGUGUACGAGUGCGCACACGGGGUAGGCAAUAACUUCUCCUCUCAUAUCAUAUGAAGUCUCCGUCAAGUAGGGAAGCGUGAGCAUCACAUUAAAGGCACCAUUACUACGCACCACUGCGCACUUACGCAUGGUUUGGUUGGAGAAGUAAUUUUGCUCAAAAUAGCAGAGAUUCAUCACUGGAUAUGGUGAUGGAAGACAAAGUUGCUUAUCUAAUUAAGAUUGGAACCACCCAAGUUGACGUUCGUAUGGUUCUUGCAAGUUUUGAUGAUAUGCUGAAUAAUAUUGAAUCUAACUUGGCAUGGCCAUCACAGCACCUUAGGGCUUUGUUAGAGAUUACAGAUAAAGUGCGUAGCACGGGAUCAGAAAUCUACUAUAGAAAAUUUGUUCUGAGCACUUAUCAAAUAUGAGGACUACUAUAUAUUUAAGAACUAAGCGGCGUCAACUGAAUUAAGAUACAUGUAAAAUUAUGCUCGUGAAAUUAAACCUGGAGCAAAAAUUUAAUAGGAAUCGUUUCAGUAGUGAAUCGAUCAUAUUCGUUAUUCAUAUGGCUCUAAAAUUUGUGUGCUUGUGCGAUGGACGAUAGAUUUAAUGAUCUCAGUCUUUAUUCUCAAAGUCCCAUCAUGUAACUAGUAUGACUUGAAACCCACCCCGGUCCAAUCAACUCCAGUGCGACUCACCGAUUGUCCCUAAAGCAAGUGGCAAAAGAUUUGGUGGUUGAUAUCCGAGACCUAAGUUCGAAUUCUAAUUGAUUCACAUUUCUAACUAAGUUUAUUUCUAAAUGAAAUAAACGAAGCGGAUAGCGUGCUAAUUAUCUCUCAAAAAAAAAGAAAAAAGAGAAAAAACUCCAGUGCAACUCAGAUCGCACCGCGUAGGUUAUAGGUCUCGGAUCAGAGCCUCUGCGGAUUAAACGCAAAUCAGAACCUUCCAAACCCAUCCUUUAUAACCUGAAUCAAAACCCACUCUAACAUUUCAAAAUCAACACCCGCCACAUUUUCGAAUUAGAGAGAGAGAGAGAGAGAGAGAGAGAGAGAGAAGCGCGAUGGAGAAGAAGGGCGAUUCUGAUCACCCCUCCUCUUCCUUCUCCAAGACCCACAUCGCGAUCCGCUGCGCGAGAGCAGCGCUCGUCCUCGCCGAGCUCCAAUCGCCUCCCCUUCGCCGCCGAUCCGCUGCCGUGGCCGAGAAGGAGGAGGUGAAUCCCCGUUCCCCAAUGUCCUCACCAUCUUCUUCUUAUUCUACUUCUCGAUCAAACCCUAAUAGAGAGCCAUUGAUGUUUCCAUCAGGAGACGGAGAGGAUGAGGGUUUCCGUGUCGGAUCUGACGGCGCAGAUGGCCGCGGAGAGGAGGCAACUGCUGCGAUUCGGAGAGGACGAGGUAAUCCUCCACCUCGUUCUCCUCUCGCUGAUCCUGUUGUUGCUUGUCCUCGAAUUGAUGUUGAUGAACUAGAGAUCUCCAUUAGAGUUGGAAAUGAAUCAAGGGAAUUUGUGGUUUCAUCUUCUUCGGUAUCGUCGGUUUUAGGUUUGAUAAUGGUUUGGGAAUUUGCUCUGUUUGAAUAAAUUUCGUUUUGAUUUGCAAAAUCGGGCUCAGAAUAUCUAGAAGGCUCUGUGCUCAUGGAAUUACUGCUUUCUUUUUUUUGGUCAAUCACAGUUAUUAUUACUGUAGCGCAACAACAUGUAUGUACUCACCAUAUACUCUUCACUCUUCGGUUCUGAUCUAAAUAGUUUCAUGUAUCUUUAGAAUGAUUCUAAAAUGUUGAAUACAAAUUUAAUCCUACAAUUUUUUUUUUUUUUUUUUUUUUUUUUUGCUUCAAAUUGCAUCCUGCAAGUUUUUUUAAAGUCAAAAAAUGGAACCCAAAUUUUGUUAGUCUAAUAGUUAUUUCCUUUUGCACGAUUAUAUGAAAAAAUGAUCAUUUGUGAAAAUUUGUAUUCAUUUGUCAGUUGGGUUGAGGUACUGUAAAAAAAAGGAAAAAGUCCUCUAGACAACAAUCCAAUUUUUGAAUAGCUAAUAUUUCUAUUUUUUUAUCAUUAAAAAAAAUAGUAUUUUUGUUCUUACAAUAUUAUUCACCGAAGCACUAGAUGCGUAGUUCCUGAAUCCCCCAAGUGGUAGAAAUUAAAUAAUAUCUUAUUUUUGAAGAUUAACUCAGCAUUAAUUGGCCAGCAUAUUAUUCUAACGAUUGAUUGAAGUUAAAUUAUCCUCACUCUCUCUCAUAAAGGGGUGAAAAGCUGUUACUCUCACAGAGUGAAAUUAUAGAAUAUAUCAUGAGGAAAGGUUAAUAUGCCUAGCUUUUACUUUAAGUUCUAACCAUUCAACAAAAUUUUUAAAAUAAAUUUAAGAAACAAAAUUGACAGUAUAAUUUUUUUUUGAGCAAUAUUAUUCGUGCACAGAGAGAGGAUAGGCAUAAAUUAUUAUUUUUUAAGCUAUUAAUAAAAAAAUAUAUAGUUUUGUAUAACAAAUAUAUUUUUUUUUGAAAAAACUUCAAAUAUCCUGCAUGUGGUUUCGCAGUUUCUUACUUUAAUAUCAUGUGGUUUAAAGUGUAUCAAGGCAGUACCCGGUGGUUUCGCAUUUUCUCACUUUAGUACCCUGUGGUUUAAAGUGUAUCAAGUUAGUACUCUGUGGUUUCAUUUUUGUAUCAAGUUAGUUCCUCGUGAUUUCAUUUUUCUCUUUUUAUUAUCUAUUUCGGGAUUUUUUUUCGUUAAAUCAAUGACAAAGUUAAAACUAAAGGGUACUAAAAUGAAUAUUCGAUAAAUCUAGAUAGGGUAUUUGAAGUUUGUUUGUAUAUAAUUUAACGAAACAUUAAACCACAUGGUACUAAAGUGAGAAAGUGCGAAACCAUAUGGCACUAACUUGAUAUACUUUAAAUCACAGAAUACUAAAGUGAGAAACUGAGAAACUACAAGAUACUAAUUUAAUACACUUUAAACCAUAUGAUACUAAAUUGAGAAAGUGCGAAACCACGAAGGGCUUGUGGGUAUUUAAAGUUUUUUCUUUUUUUUUUUCACCCUCUCUAAAAGCAGCUGGUCCCUGAGUACUGGUGCAUGGGGAGUUUCUAUAAAUGGCUCCGCGUAGGGCUUAUAUUUGCUCUUUUUCGUGUCGCAGCUUCCCAUUGCCGCAGAAUCUCCAAAGUACCGCGAAUGCGACGACCGAACCCGAUCCGCGCCCUGUUUCGCUCUGCCUAGUUGGGCGACGAAAUCCACGAACAAGAACAACAACAACCAUUACAACAACAACAACAACAACAACAACAACAACAACGUGUCUCCCAAUAAAAAAAAGGGGAAAAAAAAAAAAAGAAAGGCGAAAACAACAAACAACGAUUCCCCAACUCCCCUCCCCUCUCCCCUUCCCCACUCGAUGGAACCGAUGCCCCGGUCCCCUCGUCCUCCACUAUCCCCACCAUCACUUACUCCGCAUCUAUUCCAUUCCUAAUUCCGCCCCCCGCCCCCCCUCCCCUCCUCCCCCACUCCUCUUUAUUCUUAAUUUCUUAUUCCACUCCCCCCUCCCUCCUAUGCCUCCAACCCUAACCCUAGAAAUCGCACUUAGCUUCCCCUCUCUUCUUCGCCUUCCUCCUCCCCUGCCGUCGCCGCCGCAAUGCCGUCGUUGGAGCUCUGGUUCCCCGCCUCCUCCCCCUUCCCCGAGGAACCCGCCUUCUUCGGCGCCGGAGGCCUCUUCCUCGACCCCUCCGUUCCCAACUCCCUCCUCUGCUCCGUCUCCUCCUCCACCGCCUCCGAUUCCUCUGCUUCUUUCGUUAGAUUGGGCUCUCCGUCGUGUUCCCGGCGCACGCCCUUCGUUUUGGGGCGGCGCGGAUCGAAGGGCGGCAGCGCGUUCUUGUCUGUGAGCUUGUCGGUUAAGGGCCGCGAGGGUUUCGUGCGGGAGUCGGUGGAGUUUUUGGGGCAGAGCGGGGAGAAGAGCUCCGAGGAGGCGGCAUUGGAGGGGAAGGAGGAGAGUGAACUUAGCGUGGAGGAGGAUGAGAAGAAGAAGAAGAAAAAGUUGACGGUUAGAGCUCGAGGAGGUGCCGUGAACACCACGAAGCAUUUGUGGGCAGGAGCGGUGGCUGCGAUGGUUUCGAGGUAGUGAGCUACUUAUUACUUUGAAAUUUUGAGCUAUGUUCUUUUUGGCACUAUAUAGCAUGAAUUGGAAAUGCAAUCACAUGAAGAAGAUGAAACUAUGCUUUUCCAAAGAAAAACGAAAAAAAAAAUAGGAUGUGGCUUUAAAUAAAGGCCAUUGUUGCUAGUUAGAGGACUUCCCGCUCAUUAGUUGCUUAUAGAUUCAUUCGAGAUUUAUAAAUUGCUUGCAUAGAUAUUUUCGUGGAGCUUACUGUUCCUUCUGUUUCUAGUUUAUAUUGUUCUAUCGAACAUAACUAUGGGAUGAUACCUGGGUUUUGUUUUAGUGUACAUAAACUACAUGCUCAUUAUUACAUUCUUUUCGUGGGUCAAAUACUCAAAUUGUGGGUUAAACAGUUUAAUUAUGGACUUUGAAGUGGAGACGUUUUUAUUUAUAGAACAAUCUUGAUCUAUAGAAACUGAAGUAAUAGAAAUUAUUUAGCCAUUGUAAUGUUUAGUGAGUGCUGAGAAAAUUGAUUAAAAGGCCGUUGGUGAAACUUGUAUGAAUUUGGGAGGUAGCUUUAUAUGAUAUUGUCGAGAAAUGUUAAGUAUGAGGUCACACAUGCCUAGAGAUAAUUCUGUGGGAACUAUUUCAUGUGUUUGCUAUAUUUGGAGAAGAAAAAUCUAAUGUUUAGGCAUCAGUUGCAUUCUGGAUCUUGAUAAUUACCAUUUCAUUAAUAUUUCUCGGUUUAGCUUUGUGAAUUAAAAGAAUGAUACUGCUAGUUGUAAUUAACGUGUUUUAACUUUUUAUUUCGAGACUAAUCAAAAACUUUAUGGUGUAAUAUUUGGUACUUGGUUGCAAGCCUGGAAUAAAGGUGGUAGGUUGGGACAACAUAAUCAGAGUCAUUUGUCAUCGCCACGAAUAUGAGAAACAACUGUAAUAUGGAUCUGGAGUUGACCUGGUGCUAUGGAGUAGACAAAUGGGAGAAUUGGACAGUAGAAUUGAAAGCAAUUAUUAGAGACAUUGAGGGAAAGAAGUCUGGGUAAGUGAAGUCCCACACCAACUAAUCCACUUCAACUAAUGCCUUCUUGUCUAGACUGUUCAUCAAUUUUUUGUUUUUUCCACUUGGAAAUCGAUUUAGUCUCAUGAUGUUAUCAUUUAGCGAACCAUCUGGUACAAAAUGGUCAGUUUAAGGCAGUAUCUCUCUUGUUGGGAGUAACCUAGGAUUUUGCUACGAAGUAGAUAGAGAUUGAAGCAGCUAUGUCUCAUCUGGCUGAAAAGGCAAGUGUCAUUUCUAUCAAGCCUAUAUUCUGGAUGAUUGUUGCACACAUAUUUCAACUUCUUGUUGCAUAGAUAAUUUUUUUGCCCUGGGUUUCUGCUCUUUAGGCGUUGUGAACAAUGUAAUCAAUGUCACAGCAAAGACUUCAGAAUUUUCUAUGAUUUGGUUUCUUCCACUGCUUCUAAUUUAAGAACUAUUACCAACAGAAUAAUUUAUUUAUCUUAUUUUCCUUCAUGUAUUUUCUUUCUUGCUGAGUUACACAUUUUGGUCUAUCAGAACAUUUGUGGCUCCUCUUGAGAGGCUAAAGUUGGAAUACGUAGUUCGAGGUGAGCAGAGAAAUCUUUUCGAACUUAUCCAUAAAAUUGCAACCACAGAAAGGUUGAAAGGUUUCUGGAAGGGGAAUUUCGUCAACAUUCUUCGCACUGCUCCAUUCAAGGCAGUGAACUUCUAUGCGUAUGAUACUUACAGAAAACAGCUGCUUAAACUGUCUGGUAAUGAAGAAACAACGAACUUUGAGAGGUUCCUUGCAGGUGCUGCCGCUGGCAUAACUGCCACCAUAAUAUGUAUACCAAUGGACACGGUAUGUUCUGCUUGUAGAUCAUUUUUUUUUCUGAUGAUUUAUCAUAGGAUUUAUCUUGUGAGACCACUAGUUAAAUAGUUGGCUUUCACAUUUUUUUUCUUUGUUUACGUUUGCAACUUUGGCCCAACUUUUGGCUUUUGGGACCAAAUUCCCUCUCCACUAUUGUGCGGUGAUGUAUGAUUUUAAAUGUUUGAUGCAUAAAUUGGUCAUGUAGGGGGGGGCAGUUUGGUUCUAGAAGUUGGAAAGUGGGCAAGUUGCAAUAAUGAAAAAAAAUGCAACAUUGAAAUCUUAACAAAAUUGUCUCUUUCGAAGAACAAUGGUAACUAUCAGGUUUAGACUUUGUUCGUUGCAAUUCCCUUUCAUAUUGCUUCCUGAUUUCCAUGCUUUUUACUUAAGCUCCCAUAAUUUCAGAUUCGGACAAAAAUGGUAGCUCCUGGUGGUGAAGCUUUAGGCGGUGUUAUUGGUGUUUUCCGCCACAUGGUCCAAACCGAAGGGUUCUUCUCUCUUUACAAGGGACUAGUGCCUUCUCUUAUUAGCAUGGCUCCAUCUGGUGCCGUUUUCUACGGUGUAUAUGAUAUAUUAAAAGCAGCUUAUCUGCAUUCUCCAGAAGGAAGGAAACGAUUGGCUUUGAUGAAGCAACAACAACGUGAAGAAGUGAGCGCACUAGACCAACUAGAGUUGGGUCCUAUGAGGACUUUACUAUAUGGAGCCAUUGCCGGGUGUUGUGCAGAGGCUGCCACAUAUCCUUUCGAAGUGGUGAGAAGGCGGUUACAAAUGCAAGUCAAAGCAACCAAAAUGAAUGCAUUUGCGACGGCUCUUAAGAUUGUGGAGCAAGGUGGAGUUCCUGCGCUAUACGCUGGCUUGAUUCCCAGCUUGUUGCAGGUAACUUUUGCAGAUUGUUUAUUGGAUUUCUUAUUUUGGAGGGGGCUUUUUAAAAGAUUUUAAUACACAAAAUUUUCUGGCUCAUUAGAGAUGGCCACCCUGUAUUCUGUUACGGAAGAUAAAAUGUGUGAACAGUCGGAUAUCACACAUACACAAUAAUUUCAUAUUUUUCCAGAGAUGGCCGUCAAUUACCUGAUCGGCUGAUUGCCAUGUGAUCUAUUAAGAAUGUCAAUCAUCUGUAGGGCCUGAUUGGUCUAGCUGGGCCUUUUGCAAAAGUUUUUUUUUGAGAAACUAGGUGAUUUUGUUUGUUCACACAUUUUACUUUCAUAACAAAGAGAUGGGACUUCUUUUAAUCAUCUAGAAGUUCAGGGGUUUAUCAGCAUUACUGAACCUUUGUAAAAACAAGUCUUGUUUUGUGUGGUCUGACAUCAAUCUACUCCCUGUGUUUUCCAGGUUUUGCCGUCUGCCUCCAUUAGCUACUUUGUAUACGAGUUAAUGAAGAUAGUUCUAAAGGUCGAAUGAAAUAAAACACAGAUUUGUUGCCCUAUUGCUAUUUGGAAAGGGCUCUUACUCCUGUUACAUGAGCAACUAAUUAUUCUUUUCUUUUAAAAAAAAACUUGCUUCUUUAUGGAGAUUCUUCUCAAUGGACUGCAGUCAAAGGUAGUUAAAAAUGCCGUUGAAUUUGCAUCUGAGAUUGGUUUGAUUCACAGAAUUCUAACUGUAUAAAUUUAUUAUUCAGUUUCUUAAAAAAAUGCCCUGUGAAGAAUGAGCUAGAUUUUAAUGAUUUGGUGAUGCUACAUCAGAGUAAUUUGAUUUGUGCCACUCAAUUAGUUUCCGAGGACUUUGAUGUCUAUGGGCUAUGACUAUGGCGUUGACAGCUUGUGAGGGAGUGUUAAUUGAGAUCAUGGGUUUGCCCCCUUCUACACUGCAAGGUACCAGUCUAGUAUUUAUUUCUUUUAAUGUCUUUUUGGCUUUCCUUUUUCUUUCUUUUUUAGGAGUUAUGUAGCUUUGAAAUUCGUGUCAGUGGGGUGAUCGAUGGUGGUAUUGUAAGCCCCGUUUCACUGUGGUUAGCCUCUCUGUGUAGAAUCUGUGUUUCGAGGUAAAAUUAUUUGAGGAUUUUUUUUGAGAGAAAAAUAGCAUGCUAGUCGUUUUAUUUAUUUUUUAAAAAAUAAAUUUAGUUGUAAAUGUGAAAUAACUAGUUUUCCAACUUGUGACCUCGAAUAUUAAUUAUUAAGGUUUUUGUAUUUUGUGCUUAGAACAAACGGUAAAUUUAGAGAAACUACUGAAGCUAUUGGAAGGUGCUUGAUAACCUCUACUUCGACUAGUGCUUUCAAUUCCAUCCCUCAUAAACCUUUACUUUGACUAGCGCUUUCAAUUCCAUCCAACGUAUAUUUGGUUCUGUUAUUUCUCAAUUAACUUUUUUGAAAAUAAGCUAGUAUUAUCGCUUCAAUUGAAACCGCAGGCCCUAGUUUGAUCAUUAAACCCUUCAUAUUCUUGUAGCCUUUGAGCUGCUAUGGAAUUUUUUUUUCUUAUAACAAGACCAUCCAACGCAAAAGAUUUUUGGAUUAAAAAAUCUAGCUUGUUUGAUUUUUGAGCUCUUAAAUUCGAAACUUUUAUUUCAUAUUUUUAACUAAAUGUAUCUUUAAAAAAAAUAGAAAUGAACGGAUCCAGUAACACAAACGGAGAGAAUGUAAUUGGCUAGUUACGUGUUGGAAUAAAUUUGUGAGCUUGGGCUCCUGCAAAUGUGAGAUCGCUUAUCUAGACGAGUAGCCCUCGCACCUACUCCAACUAAUUACAACGCCCACCAUUUAAUCGCCAAAGCUGUAAACUUUGAAAAUGCAGGAAAGCGGUGCAAGAAGACGGCUUGACCAUAUGAGCUUUUCCCAUCAGUGUUGGCUUGCAGGUUAUUUUUCAUGUUUUAAUUAUCAAACUCAACACCGACUGUCUCUAGAGCAAAUGGCAAAGAGCUUGAUGGUUAGUAGCAGAGAUCUAAGUUCAAAUCCUAGUUGAUUCAUAUUUUCAGUUAAGUUUAUUUUUAAAUAAAAUAAACAAAGUGAGUAGCGUGCUACCUAUCUCUCAAAAAAAAAAAAAAAUUAAUAAUAUCCUACUCCAUAUGCUACGCCCUUCCUACUAAGCAGUGACAUCUUAAUUUAUGUCCAGGCAUUAAUUGGGAACCACUUUAGAUUAGAGUUAUAUUAUGGGUCCCCGUUGGAUUACAGAAAAAAUUGACAAGUAUAUAUUUUUUUAUAUGUUUUUAUUUUAACUUUGAUCGUGGCAAUUAUGGUACUGCUUACAGUAAUUAAGUAAUUGGUAUUCUCUUAUUUAAAAUUUUAUAUGAAAUAUUAGAUUGGCCAGCUGUACAAAAAAAGUCGGCGAGGAUAUGGCCUAAUUUUAUAAAAGAGGCUUCAAUGCUAUCGUCAUUAAUUUUUCACUAAAAAAUAUAAUUUGAUGUGAAAUUAAAAAUCAUCUAUACUUCUCUACCCUACAAGCAAAAAUCUAAAUCAAAAAUUUAUAUUUUACAGACCAAGUUAAAAUUUUGAUGAUAGAAAUUAAAACGGAAACCAAAUUUUACGUGCUUUGGUGAAGGGUGGGCCAAAUUACUAAUUAAGAUUCCAUUAUUAUCCCUCUUUAAUUCAAUCCAACGACGCCACCCGUUUCACCCGCCCCUUCCCCCACCCCCCCCCCCCUCUCUGUCUCUCUCUCGCUCAUUUAAUUGAUCGCGGUGUCCUCGUCCCCGUCCCCUCCCCUUCCAUGUCGCCGCCCCCGGAGGAACCCAUCCGCGGUGGCGGCGCUGCCCCGUCCUCGCCGGAGAACGGCGCCGCCAAUGGCCACGCCGCGCCGCCCUCGCCGGAGAACGCCACCGUCAACGGCGGCGCCUUGGAGGACUCCGCCGACGCGCGCCGCCGGAAACCCGACCCUUCCGCGCCGUCGCCGCCCCAGACCUCGUCGUCCUCCGCAUUCCCCUCGUGCUUCCUCCAUCUGAGAUCCGAGGGGGGCCACGGCGACGAGUGGAGGUGGCUCCGGCGGUGCGCCGAGGCCUCAGCCAAGGGAUUCGCGAUCGGCGCCGGACUCAAGGGCGGCCUCGCCCUAUUCUCCAUCCUCACGCGGUUGAGGAGCCGCAGAUCUCUGAGAUCGUCUUCGAGGUUCGAUCUAGCUUAUUUUGCGCAUAUCUCGUUCUCUUUCCCUUCUAUUCUCCGCAUGAUUCUGAUUGUGUGGUGCUGUUUUAGGAAGUUGGGGACUUUCACCAAUGAAGAGGCAGUGAUCAUGGCGAUCAAAGAGACGAUGCGAUAUGGAAUGUUUCUGGGGGCAUUUGCAGGGACAUUUGUUUCCGUUGAUGAGUGUAUAGCUGCUAUCUGGGGCCAUAAAAGGUUAAUGUUUUAAUAUAUUUCUUGUUUCAAUUUUCAUCUUCGCUAUGUCUAUAAAAGGAUAAGUUUGUUGUUUGCCUUAUAAUGGAGUAUCUGUUGAAUUAUAGGAGGAGAUAUGGCUUAGCUUAGAAAAGUUGACCAAUUAGACCAAUGUUAUUCUAAAGUGUGCAUUUUGGUUUUGCCGAAGCGUCGACUUUACUGACUUUACUUGAGCCACAACAUUUUAAAUGAACUUUAAAAUUUUAAUUUUACUACCUAACCUUAGAUUGCUUUUGAAUUCGGAAAGUUAUCUGAUUUCCCAUCAAAUAACAUAUAUUCUGUCCGAUUAGGGGAUAUCUCGCAAAAAAUGUUACAAGUAUGUAAAGUUGGAUAGUAAAAUCAAAACUAUGAAAGCCAAUACCUAUUUUCAAAAAUUGUAAGGUUGGCGAGUAAAAUUAAAACUUUAAUGUUGAGGUAGUGACUUCCAAAUCGCAAUAGUUUAGGUAAGAACUACAUUUUCAUGUUUGUUUUUUCAAAUACAGCGAUUGACUUUGUGGUUAGCUUAGGAUUCUGCUAUAAGUUUGGAAAGUUUGUGGCUUAUGCUAUUCAGGACCAAUUCCAUAUAAAUCAUUGAAUUGAUGGUUGUGAUCCAACUAACAUGAAUAUAUUAUGGAUGCGCACUAUGUACGAUGUAGUAUUGACCAAUGAAAGGAGAAAUGUUCUAUUUGUAGUUCUAACAUGUUUUGGUUUGUUUUCCUCUUUCCAAAUGCUAAUGAAUAGAGUUUUUCUGGUCGGUUCAGAACAGCAGGAUGGAGGGCACUAUUAGCAGGGGCACUUGCUGGUCCAUCGAUGAUUCUGACGGGGCCAAAUACACAGCACACUAGCUUAGCUAUAUACAUUCUCAUGCGUGCUGCUGUUCUGGCAUCACGUUGUGGGAUAAAGAGCAAAAAAUUUGGACAUCUUUGUAAACCUUUAACCUGGUCGCAUGGUGACAUUUUCCUUAUGUGCCUUUCCUCUUCACAGAUUUUGUAUGUUUUUCUCUUCUACCUCUCAUUUCAUUUACACCGUGAGGUUUCGGGUUAAUAUUGUUUUUUUUUAAUUCCUGAAUUAAUUUCUGUUAGUUGUAAGUGUAUCUAGUUAUUGCAUUUGUGAUUUGUAGCAGUUUAGAAAAGUAUCGGUCAUUGUUAACUGUCAUAUCAUGUUAAUGUCCAUCAUUGCGUAUCGAUGCUUUUGUUGUUGUAUACAAACAUUCCCUAGUUAAACUUUUAAAUUGAGGAAAUCAAACAUGAAUGACAUUUUAGCAGCUUGUUUGCUUUCCCUUAAGAACUUCCUAGUUAUAGUUUUGCUUAAUGAUAAAACUUGGGAAGAAUUGAACCUACUGUGAAAAUUCAUAUUCAUUUAAAUGGGCGCUGGAAACCCAAAUUUCGCUUAUAGAUUCAAAGAACCUUCUUUUGGCUAGCAAUUUAAUGUGUCUCACUCCAUACUUGUAGUUCAUCUUAAAUUUUUUCUUUGGCUGAUCUCAGAAUCCUUAUGGAAAGCUUGCUUAUUUAUAUCGAAAGAUGUUUAACUGAUUGAAAAAUGUAUUGGCAUUAAAAAUUGUGGCACUAGACGGUUCUCAGUCGGCAACUUGAGGCAGCUAAUAAUUUAGAUACCAAUUAACAUGAUGCCACAUGAAGGGUGCAUGAGUUACACAGGUUCUAAAUUUUGAGAGUAGAUAAAUGCAUGAGUUACACAGGUUCCAAAUUUUGAGAGUAGAUAAUGGAGAGAGCUGUGUAAACUAAAGUAAUAAAGUUGAACAAAUCAUGCCUUUGAAUGAUUUUUCUGUAAGAGAGAUGUCCUUAAACUGCAAUUACUUCCAGUUAAGCCACACUAUUUCCGCCCAUUACAAUAAGUUUUAGAGUAACAAUGCUCAUUUUUAAAUCUUCUGCAAUGCUCAUUUUAAAUCUUCUGCAGAUCUGCUUACAUUCUGAAGCAAGACAGCUUGCCACUAUCAUACAAAUCAUUUCUAAAUAAGCAUGGUGGAAAAGAUCCUCUUAUUCUCCAGGGUGUGAAAGAAAUCGCCUGUAAUAUCCCUUUCACUAACUUGGAGGGCAUUGAGAGGUAUUACAAGUCUACAGGUGUUGACAUAAAACUAGACCCCAGCAUGAAAGUGCCAUGCUCAGUAUGUACUGUGUCUUGUUCCUUUCUUCUUUCUUAUUUUUAAGAAGAACAUUUAUAUACAGCUUCAUGUCAUAUAUUCUUAUAAGACCAUUUAAUUUCAACUAUUUAUUCAGAUUGUGCAUGGCAAUAAAUCUUGCACUGGGCAUUUCAUAUCAUUCCUGUUACAAGCAUAUGGAAGAGCUCUACCUGUUUAUGUUCCAGUUUACUUGAUUCCUGCACUAAUAGUUCACCGUCAGGACCUCUUGAAAAGGUAUACACGAUCACUUAAUUUUUGCUUUAUAUGCUGUCAAAUAGUAUUAAAUAGGCAUCUGCUGAUGCAGACUUUAACAUGAUAUUUUGUAGUAACCUUAAUACUCAAUAUGUGGACACUUAUUUGCUCAGAACUUUUUCCUUUUUUUUUUUUUUUUUCUUUUCAAUCUGAGUUAAUAGCUUUGAGCAAAUCAAUGAGUAAAUUUUCCCGUGACAGCCCCUUAUAAUCAUUAGUUGAACUUUGGAGCAUUCAGAAAUCAAAAUCUCGCAAGAAUCCGAAAUUUUUGCUUCUGCUUAUUUUCCAUUCUAAUUAGAACAAUCAGCAUAAACACGAUACCUGUGGAUUCUUGCGUUAUAUAAUGUUAUGCUCUCUUGUUCUAUUCGUUCAUGUUCUAGUGAAACCACUUGUAAUGUUGCCUUCAAUUGACAUCAUUUUUCUACAUUGUGCUACAGACCUUACACAAUUCUGGGGAAGAGUUUGGUGGGUACCGCAAGAUCUAGCCUAUUCCUCUCUGUAUACUGUGCAUCUGCCUGGUUAGUAUGAUGUUUAACCCUGCUUUUAUGUUUUCUUUGCGUCUCCUUAUCAUAGACUUGUCAUUUGAGUGAUCUUAUUGGGUAGCAAGUAAAAUUUUGAGAUGAUGGUAGCUCGCGACUUGAAAUCUUCCUCUCCCCCUUUCAAGGUUGUAACUUAUGUCAAGCCCUCAUCUGCUUGUAGCAUUAAUCCCCAUAAUAAAUCCCCUUGAUCGUAACAUAAACUCUUACAAGUCUCUCUUCUAAUUUUUGUCUUUCCUACUGAAAGACUUCACAUCUCAUUUUCAGGGCUUGGACUUGCCUUCUUUUUAGAAUUCUCAAGAGGUGUAACGUUCCAAUGGUCGCAAUGGGGACGGUAGGUAUUUCCCAUUAUUAUACUAUACUAAUGUAAAGAAAUUUAAGAAAUAUCUAGUACUAAGUGAUUUCCCAAUAACAGUUUCCUGCCGGCCUAGCAUUGCUAAUCGAGAAGAAGAGCAGGAGAAUUGAGAUAUCUCUUUACUGCUUCGCCCGUGCCAUCGAGAGCUUCUUCACUUGUAUUGCCGACGCGGGCCUCUGCCCUCCAGCCUCGAAACUUAAGCGGGCUGACGUGGUUGUAUUUAGUAUUUCGACGGCCAUCAUCAUGCACUGUUAUGCACAGGAAAGGGAGGUUUUCCGAUCAAAGUACCUGAACGUGCUCGAUUGGGUUUUCGGAGUGCCCCCUGAACUAGAUGAUGAACAUGAGAAAGAAGUGGAGAGAAAGACAAGUUAGAUUGUUCAGAGAUAUAUGCCCAGAAAUUUUGGGAUGUUUAAUAGGAUUAUUAAGCUAUUGAUAUCUAGAAUAGCCCCAUUGGUGGGAUUUAGAAGGAAAUUUAGGUUUUUUUUCCUUAGAGCAAGAUAUUGUAGAUUAGUGGUAAAUACGAUUGUGAAAUUUGCUGCAAUUCAUUUGAACCGUUUUAGCAAUUUUAUCAUGUAAACUAGCGUGUAUUGCCGUUCUGGAGCUUAAUUAUUUUUUUUCGAAUUUUGAACAUUAUUAAAAAAAUAAGACUAGUAUGAAUUUUUUUUUUUUUUAAGAUUAGGGAGUGUAAGAUUUAUUGGGAGCGUAUAGAUAAUAUUGCCCAGGUAUCAAAGUACAACUAACGUUUCUUCUAAAUAGCAAUUAGAGGGAUCACCACUAAAAAUGGUUGUAUUUGUAGGGCUGUAGCUAUAACUUUUUUGGUUAUAAGCAACGGUUGCUAUUCGCAACAAAUAUAUUUUAAGCUAAUUUACAACAAAUAUAUUUCUUUCAACCUUAUAAAAAACAGUUCCAAGUAAUAAAUUUUACGGUCCUACAAAAAAAAUAUACAAAACUAUUUUACAUACUUUUGUGAUAACUCUUCGAGCGGGUUUUGAUAAUAAUAAUUUAUUUAAUUUAAUAUUAUUAGACAAAAUAAAUUUAGUUCGAGUCUAUAGAGUUGUGCGCUAUGGCCACUGGCCUACCGAAAAAUAGGAAAAUUUGUAUUUUAAAUGGCAAGGUCGAUUUGGGGGGAGUUAUUGGGGAAAGUAAAGAGUUUCCAUAAUAUGGCGUGCCCAGCGUAUAUUUUGACUACGAGCGAUCGUUUGUUCGCUCUGUGUUUAUCCCUAUCGAUUUUCCCCAUCAACAACAAAACGACCCAAAUCUGAGGGGACGAAUAUUCCAAUAAAAACCCUAGAAAUAUCCGGCUCCUUUCUAACUAAACCCUAACAGGACGAUCGAAUCCGCAUCCAUCGUCAUCAACGGGGAUCGCUCCUGCUACGAGGAGGAGCGCCGCGAAGCACCCGAGCAACGGGGGCGCAAGGAAGGGGAUUUAGGGCUCGAUUUAGGGUUUCGAUUCCGAUCUCCUCGAGGCCGCGGCGUUCGCGGUAGCGUAUGGUGAUGGGAGCCGCGGGUUCGAAGCUCGAGAAGGCUCUCGGCGACCAGUUCCCGGAGGGCGAGCGAUACUUCGGCCUCGAGAACUUCGGGAACACUUGUUACUGCAACAGCGUAUUGCAGGUCGCCUCAUACUUCUUAUUCUCGGCAUAAAUAGACGAAGUCCAACCUUUUGUUCUAUACUUUUAUGUUUCCUGAACUUUUUGUAAUAGAAAUUGCCUUCAUCAUGCGUUUGUGGGCAAAUGUAUGUGGAUUCUUAGUGAAAAUUUCAUUUUUUUUUGGGUUAGAUUGUAACGUGGAACAUAGUUAUGAUCUUAUGAUCCUGGCAAUUAUGUUUGGAAUAGUGAUGCAGGAGCCUUGUUUAGUAAGGUCCAUACUGAUUAUCAUGUGUAGCAUGUUCUUUUAAACUCCCACCUUUUUCACCCUUUAGUUUCCUUUGCAUUGCAUGUUUAUUUAUCAUUUGAUUAAGCAGGCUUUUUUUUUUUCCUUGUUGUAAAUUUGAGUUUAUCUACUGUUUGCGUGCUAAUUAGUUUUUUUUGCAAGUUCGUUGUUUUGUAUUCUAUACUGUCGAUCGAAUGAUGGAAGUAGUAAAAAUUAGCUUAUAUUGCUUUUCUAGUAAUUUCCCAUAUCGAGAGAUCCUUUGACGAAAGGUUCAAAUUGAAAAAAUUAUUUUGAAGAAGAAAGAGAACUUCUCUUUUGAGUAUGAACUUGUAGUUAAAUGAACUUCCAUAUGGUUUGAUUUCAUGGGUCGAAACACAUGGUCGCCCUGUUUGCUUUUUUCAGAAGUCGAGUGCUUGGAACUUGUCAAUUUGGAAAUUCAUGUUCAGAUUUAAUUUGAUUGUUUAUCUUUUUCAUCGGACGGUAUAACCGACAGCUAUAUUGUUUUAAUACUUAUGUUUAGGCACUUUAUUUUUGUGUUCCUUUCCGAGAGCAAUUACUGGAGUACUACGAAGGCCGUAAGAAUGUUGGAGAUGUAGAAGAGAAUAUUUUAACAUGCUUGGCUGACCUGUUCACCCAGGUAAUUUCUUCUAGGUAUUCAUUCUCAUUAAAUGUUCCUCCUUUUCUGUAUAAGACUCUCUCUUGCAUAUUUAGAGGCUCAUAUGUUAAAUCUCUCUCUCUCUCUCUCUCUCUCUCUCUCUACAUUUACAUACACAAAUAGUAUAUGUUAUUGAGGGUGCAUUCACUCUUAAUUAUGCAAGAUGUGUUCAGGUACAUGCUGUGGCAAUGACAUAUGACUUUGUUCUACACUCAUCCUCUGCAGAUUAGCUCCCAAAAGAAGAAAACUGGCGUUAUUGCUCCGAAGCGUUUUGUUCAAAGAGUGAGGAAAGAAAAUGAGCUUUUCAACAGCCAUAUGCAUCAGGUAAUUCAAUUUGGAUUGUGUUGUUAUUGAUGCUGACAUACAUUAACUUGAUGAUCUUUGGGAAUGUUGUUGCGGUGUACACAUCUUUGGCAAGCACUGUUUUGUCUACAGUUAUGGUAAUAAUCAUGAUUUAACUAUUAGUAGUGUGUCGAUCUACAUGUUUUAUCAGCGCCUUAAUCAUGUAUGGAUCUAUGAAACACAUUGCAGGAUAUUCCCUCUUUUAAUUCAUUCGCUCACAUUGUGCUGUUAGAAGUCGGAAUGGCAAUGAUUUAUUGUUAGCGAUCAUUAUAUAUUGUUUACGUCAUUAUAAAAAGUAACGGGAUGGAGGGGUUCCCUUUAAAUUAGAUAGUUUAUGAUUCUUUUUUAUUAUUAGCCAUUCGUACGUGGGUCUCAUGUGCCAUCUCUUAUUGAGAUGUCUAGAAAGAAUGUCCUACAUCAUGUUGUUUCUUUUUAUCCUGUGUUGUGUUGACUGUUGCUGACAUACUGUACAAAUAAUCUUUUUGUUGUGCAUUAAGAUAUCAUCAGAUAAUCUUAAAUGUCUGUGUAUGUGCGCUUUAUUUUUUUGUAGGAUGCUCACGAAUUCUUGAAUUUCUUGCUGAAUGAGCUUGUUGACAUUCUUGAGAAAGAGUCUAAUGUGGCAAAAACAUCCCCUGAAACGCCAUCUUUGUCGCAAAAAGUUGUGAAUGGUACAAACCAUAUUCAAGACAAUGGAAUCAAGAAAGAGCCCUUUGUUACAUGGGUGCACAAAAGUUUUCAGGUGAAUUUUUAUUUCUCAUUCUAGCUUCACCAUAAUAAUUUUAGUUUGACAACACCUUUAUUCUAGCUUGUAAUUUUUCUUCGUACCUGUCCUCUCUUCCUCACGGCCAUCUUCCUUUUCAAUGUGUAGGGCAUAUUAACUAAUGAAACAAGGUGUCUACGGUGUGAAACUGUCACCGCAAGGGAUGAAACUUUUCUCGACCUGAGCCUUGACAUUGAGCAAAAUAGCUCAAUCACCAGCUGCUUGAAAAACUUUAGUUCAACAGAGACAUUAAAUGCCGAGGAUAAGUUCUUCUGUGAUAAAUGCUGCAGGUGACCUAUAAGUUCUUUCUCAUUUAUUUUUUUCAAGCUCUGCUUUAAGUUUACUUUCAAUGAUUUGAUACCGCCAAUGGCUUAAAUUAUCAAGUCAAAAGUACCAAAAUGGAUAUGCAGUAAAUUGUUUCAUGCGACCACACUUGUUAAGGUUUGGCAAAUCACAGAGGACUAACAGAUACCAGGGAAAAAAAAAAAAUCAAUUUGUGACCUUCCUAAAUAACAGAAUUUUUACUAGCCGUUUCUCUGUGAUAGUGUUGUAGCUGUUAGAUUAAACAAUUGUUCCUUGCCUCAGUUUGCAGGAAGCUCAAAAGAGGAUGAAGAUUAAGAAGACACCAAACGUCCUUGUAAUUCAUCUCAAACGUUUCAAAUACAUGGAGCAGCUCGGCCGGAACAAGAAGCUACUCUACCGCGUGGUGUUUCCCUUGGAGCUUAAGCUUAGCAACACUAUCAACAAUUCAGAUGCGGAGUAUUCUCUCUUUGCCGUCGUAGUCCAUGUGGGAGGCGGGUCCAACCAUGGCCACUAUGUCAGCCUUAUCAAAAGCCACAACCGCUGGCUGUACUUCGACGACGAUAAUGUUGACAUGAUUGAUGAAUCAGCCGUGCAGACAUACUUUGGGUCCACACAAGAAUUUUCCAACAAUACAGAUUAUGGUUACAUUCUCUUCUAUGAGGGCCUUGGUUGAAAAGAGUUAGAAGCCCAGUUUUCACUCACCCUUUUCUCUUUCGAUAUGAGGUAGAAUUUUACCAUAUGGUUGUCUUAGUGUAUAGUAGGUAGUGAAACCACAAUAAGCAGGACGAAGAAAGGGUCUUAAGGGUUCUACAAGUGCUAGGAAUAUUUCCCCCCACAGAUAGAGAAAUGCUGAGUGCUUCCGGAGUUAUGCGGGACAUUCCUGCUACUAUAUAUGGGUGCAUGAGUUGCUUUAGACUUUCUCCCUCGCUUUGGUCCUCCAAUAAUGUCCUCGAAGGAGAAAGAUGUGAAAAAAGUGCUUUAUCUUGCAUUUGGGUAUAAAAUUACAAUUUUGUUCUCAAGCUUUAGAACGUUUUACCGCAGCUCGUGCAUGUGUUUGUUGUUCUAGAUUUAUCAGCAAUAACUUCUUAUAUACCCCCAAAAUCUGUCGGCAUUUUAUUUGUAGGAUUAUUUGCCGGCGACUCCGAUUCAUUCCCAUUACACCAAUGUGCAGAAAUUAGCAACCAUACCAUAGGUUAUAAUAAUCUUUCGUUGCAUUGCAGCGAACUUCAAACCAUUGUUUUUCUUUGGUGAUUAAGAGAAGCAUUAUCGUUUGUGGUGGUUAUAAAGAUUUGAAAUAUGGUUUAUAGUAGUUAGUGCCUUAUUGAGGAAGUUUUCGUUCCACCUGCUCCUUAAGCGGAAAAAGAAAAAUAUAUAUAUUUUGAGUUGUACUACAGGGUGCCGUGAAAUGCAUUUAUCAAAUCAAAUUUGUAUAUGUGAUGUCUUUUAGAUUUGAUAUUCAACUCGGCAAUCAUAUAUGGUAGUUUAAAAGAAUGAUGUUGCUAACAAAGCUUCUUUUAAAUUUGGCGUAAAUUUAUUGAAUCGGUUUUUUUUUUUUUCACUGAUCGAAUUUGAUCAAAUUUAAUAAAUGUUAUCUGUCCCUACUAUUCAGUUGCCCAAACUAGACUAUUACUAUAUAUCACGUCUGAAAAGGCUUAGCAGCAAUUUUUCUUAACCUUGAAUUGAAUAUGGAAGUCCACCAAAGUUUCCAUCAAGAGACAUAAGUUUCUAAACAUCGCUGUAUUGGCUGAAUGGUAUUAUCUAAUUGAGUGUUGGGGUUGUCGAUUUUGACGGCUCUUGAAACUAAAAUUUGUGGGGCCUUUUUCAUCAUUAGUUGUGAAUUAUGCACCACUGGUGAAGUGACAACUUAGGUCAACUCUCUAACUGCCUCAGAUGAUUCUUCAUCAGUAAUAACUAGUAAUAAAACCAUAUCAACUCUCUAACUGCCUCAAAUGAUUCUUCAUCAGUAAUAACUAGUAAUAACUCAUUAGAGAAAAUGAACCAUAUGUGCAUAAGUUGAUACAUCGAAAAUCAUCCACUGAAUAGUAAAAUUAACAUACAAACACGUUCAUAAACCAACAUUGUCUUUGUACAUACAAGGUGAGCACUAACAACACUACAAUAGAAGUGUGGACUUCUUUUGUAUCCCUUACAAGAGUGUUCAAUCAAAUGACAUGGAUAAAAGAGAGCAUCGUAAUACUAAGCAAACUCCGCAAUAAAAGGGUCCUCAACCAACAUCUCAGGCCAGAAGGAGGAGCCCACAUUCUUCUCAUAGCUAGAAGAGCUACAAGCAUCUAUAUUGCUAGUCGAAGUGCUGAUAAGAGGAGAUACCGUUUCCAAUCCGGCGCUAUUAUUCUCAUUACUUAGCGUAAGAAAGCUCGUAUCAUGUUUAUUAUUAUUAUAUGUUCCGAGCGGUUGAUCUAGGCUGCAUGAUAUCUCUGGUAAAUGAUGAAACUGCGUAUCAGCAUUAGCGACAGGAAAAGCACACGGAGGUGGAAUACUAGUAAUUGUAGGGACUGCUGAGCUAAAUAAGCUCAUCAUAGGCUCCAUGUUGGUGAUUGAACUAGUAUUUAUUGCAGGUGAAGAUUGGAGAAGGUAAUUGAAGCACUGGAGCUUUGCCAAUUGAGCCACAUCCGAUCGUAAUCGCGCAGUGUAGUCGUCCAAAGUUUGGUGGUCCAUAAGAUCUUUAAGGCUUGCAAGCGCCAUGAGUUGGGGUAGGGUAGCGAAAAGGUCGGUCCGAGGCCGGUGCGUCACUGGGUCGAUGCCCAUAUGGAUCAAUUUCUUCUUUAGAUGAGUGUUCCAGAAGUUCUUUAUCUCGUUAUCAGUGCGACCUGGAAGAUGCGUUGCGAUUGCCGACCAUCUGAGGAACAUAUAUAGGAAGCGAUUAUUAGCAUCUCAUUUUGAUAUAGAUGGAAGAAGAUGGAGGAGGAGGCUGACAUUAGCAAAGUAAGUACAUCGAAUCUAUUCAAUGUUGCAGCAUAAAGAUUGAUUAGGUUUCGUAAAAUUGCACUGCGCUAUCGAUAAUAAUUUCUGCUAUACUAAUAUCACCACCGAUGGAGAAAGAUUUACUUGUUUCCGAGGAUCGAGUGAAGAUGCAGAAUGGUCUGCUCUUCCUCGGAUGAGAACUUCCCUCUCUUGAUGUCCGGCCUUAGGUAGUUCGUCCAUCUGAGCCUGCAACUCUUGCCACAUCUAUUGAGUCCUGCAACUUAUUGAAGUAGCAGUUUUAACACUUUGCCUACCAGUUGCUUUUACUUUUAGCUACAACUAUCUAUAAAAGAGCACGCAAGACAGAAGAAAAGUUUGGGACUUCUACUAUGAUGACAAAAUGAAUUGAGCUUGUGAUCGAGCUUCAAAAACAAGAAGCUUCAAUUUAGAGCUUCUGCUUUCUUGUGAAUAGAAAGUUAUUGAAAGAGAAUUUCAAUAGCAAAAUUGAUAGUACUUUUCUUGACAACACUUCAUCGAAUAAGACUACACGCCACAGUCGGGCAAAAAAAGUACAUAGUAAGUGAUGAACAUGAGAGAGAGAGAGAGAGAGGAGGGACCAGCAAGCUUAGGGAGGGCUCUCCAGCUGCCAUGUCCAUGCUUUUGGAUGUAUUGGAUGAGUUUCUGGUCUUCUUCAGGGGUCCAGGGCCCCUUCUUCAGGCCAUUCUCAUCACAACAUGGGGAUCUCCCCAUCUUUAUUUUCCUGCUUUAAGGGAGUAGGAUAUGUUCAAGUCACAAGUGAUUGGUCUCCCAGCACACGCUCAAUUUAUACAUGCACUCCCUUGCUUGUGGAUCCCACAAAUUGUUUGUUAAGAAAAUGUCCUAUUGGCCCUUCAUUACUACAUUAAAGAAAAAAACAAUGAUACAUUCUUUUCAAAUAGAUUUGGAUACCUUUUUUUUUUUGGUAGUUGUAGUAGUUGCAAUUUCAUUUCGCAACGAACAUUAUAUAUUGCAAGAUGAAAUGAAUAUUGGUAGUGUGGACUAAAAGAGCCUAUUUGAAUGCUAGAAAUACUGUAUAUCCAGCUCCUCUUGUUUGCUAUAGGAUCAGGAGGAAUAGAUAAUAAUACUUCAGCUGUACUUGUACAAGGUAUUCAUCUGUUUACAUGAAUCCACCCUGGAAAUAAUGGUGAGGUAUCAUCUUGACACGGAGCUAUGUAAUUCCGGUUCAACCUUAAUUGUGCCAAAACAAAAGGAAAAGAAAUAAGCCAAAAAAAUAAAUGGAUAUAUGAAAUAAGAUAAAAGGGACUUGAAGAACAGUAUGGUGGGGCAUGAAUCUCCUACAUAAGAAGCAGCAGAUUUUAUCUUUAUUCAAAGAGGGGACACACACCACUGCAGGUGACAGUUCUCCCACUUCUAACCAACCCCAUUUUCCUGUUUGCUCUGAAAACAUAAUCAACUCUGCUUACACCAGCUAGGUCUAUAGAAGGUUAGGCUCCAAAAUUAGCUCUUAACAAACUAAGCAAAUAAGGAAACAAUAUUAUAAUUGUGAAUUAAGAUUCAGGGAUUUAACCAUGAUCCAUGAUCUAUGCAUUUGGAGUCUUCUGAUCUGCAAAAAAGUUAGGGCCUUAGUUGAGAACUCAAAGAGUGUUAGUUCCUGGUUUUCUUGCUACCAAAUUUUGACCCUACUUUUAUGUCAAAAAUAAAUCAUUGAUUGGAUAUAGAAUUGGUGUUGGCCAAACAAUGGAGCUAUGAACCUCCCGAUUGGAUGGAGGACUUUUUCUUCAAAGAAAUGGGAAAAGUGGGUUUGAGGGAGCGCAGGACAUGACAUAAAGAGAAAUACGACUUGCACACCCAACAGCGGAGUGUAUAUCUCACACCCACUCGCCCAGCAAAUUGAGAAGUUCCUUUUAAAAUAUUUAAUAUUAAAUAAGGAAAUUGAUAAGAAUAUCGAUCUUUAAAUUGAUAGAGUAUAAGAUUUAUACCUAUUUUUGGGAUGUAUAAAUAGCAUUGCUCAACAUGAAAAAAAAAAAAGAGAAAAGAAUAUGAGGCGAGAAGCUUAUGUUGGCAGCACAGUGACAGAGAUUAGUUGGACAAAUAAUGUACGGAGGCUUCACAUGAGUUAGAGGAGAAAAUAGGGCACGAGUGAGAUCAACUUCUUUCACAUACCUACUACAUUAAACAAGGAAGAAACUACGAUGCAGAACCUUUUUUUCCCCAUCCUUUCUCUUUUAAUCACAAGCAAAUAUGAUAUAAUUGGAAGAGGUAAAUUCAAGUAGCAUGAAUUGAAAAUAGAUGCCAUCAGAGAGACAUAAAAGAAUAGGGUAGAAUUCAAUACUUUAAUAAAUUGGAAAGGGUUUAAUCACACCACAAGUUAGCAUUGGAGAGGGUAUUGAAGUUUGAAGUGAUAAGAAGUGACAUUUCCAAAAAAGGAAAAGAAAAAGAAGUGUGGAGAUAUAGUUGCAAAGUAGGCACAUCAGAAGAUUAGAACAUUUUCCAUUGCUGAUCAUAACAUGUUCACUGCACAAAUUUGAUCUAAACAGAAGAUUAGAAAUUUUCGUUUCACAAGCACUCGAUGAUUAUGCGAAAUCCGUGUUUCCUCUCCCUCCCCCAGCUUUUCCUCGUAAUCCUGCAACAGGAGCAACUGAAUGAAACAGAGAUGAUAGAUGUGAAAGAAUAAUCAAACAUAAACAUAAAAGAAGCCUUAUUUAACUUGUGCUAUUUAAAUAUUAUCAAGUUGAUCACGAAAGGUGCGCAAUUUUUUAGCAAAAUGCCCUAUUACUUUCUCUUUCUUACUAGGUCACACGACCUGGUGUUGUCAAAAAGUUUGAUGGCGAGAUAAACAAUGUUCAAAAGCCCAACCAGCAAGCAUCUCAACCAGGCUAUGUUAUAUUAAUAGAUCUUUUCUCAUGCUAAUGGCUACAGUCAACCUACGGUGUCCAAAUAGCUGGAUAUCAUAUGUCAAUCUUCAAUUAAAAUAUAAAUUGUGAUUAAUUCAACAAACGAAAUGAUUUCCUCGUAGAAUAAUGCCUAAACCCAUAUCAUAUUAUCAUCCAUUGCAUAUACUUGCAUAAACAAAGCCUGAACUGAUCAACAAGAAGGAUGUAUAUCCUAAGCGAUCACCAACAGUGACAUGAGAAAUAAUUAAAUGGACAAUAUUUAUGUCCAUAAAUUCUACAUUAAAUUAACUAUUUCCAUAGGUUCUACAUUAAAUUAAUUAUUUCUGCUUAAUAAUCAGAGGACAGCUAAUAGUUUAAUAAUGUGCCAAUUUUGUCCUUUAUCAGUCCCACAUACUAGUUGACUCAAGUAUCGUUCGUGAACAAUUUUCCUACAUAACUAACACCAGUGAGAUACGUACUACAGACAUUCAUCUUUGUACAGUACACCUAGAACUAAAAGCCAGUAAAAUGGAUUUCAUAUACUGCACAUGUAUUUUGGAACCAUAGGAAUCUGGCUAAUAGAAUACAUGGUAGUCAUGGUUUAGUUAUUAUGCCUACAAAUUUUCUAAGAUGACAUGAUGAAGGCAUUGAAGCUAAACAAAUACAAUUUGAGCAUGCGAUAAUCGUAGCCAAUUAUCAGAGGAGCACGAGAUUUAUUACUACCUGAAAAAAACGUCUUAAUAUCCAAUGUAUGUGAAUCACAUUCAAGCCAUCCUAUUAAAUCUCCACAUGUAAUUAAGUCCGACAACUCAAAUGAGUUCUAUAUGUGCUACAGGGUUUUGAAAACGUAAUUACCGAUUGUGUCAGACAUAUACAAUUUUUUAUGAUACUCAGGACAAGAUGUUAGCUCUUAUUAGGUUAGUAGUUAUGACUUUAGUUUGAAGUGUCUGGUUCAUGUGACAUAUUCUAGUCCAUCAUAGUCAGACUAGGAUGAUGAUGAUGAUGACGAUGUUGUUAAAUUCAUUCCUAAGGUAAAUGUAAGUAUUAUUAUGGUUAAAACAGUAAGAAACUGUCUUGGUCUAUCUUGAUAAUUCUGAUUGAAACAACAAGAACAACAUUCAACAAGAAUAAGGCAAAUUCAGUAUCUUCGCAAGCAAAUUAACAGUGAGAAUGCUAAUACUUCCCAGUCUCCUUUGCCUGACAAAUUCAAGCGUAUUACAAUUGGUUAUAACAAAUAAAACAGAAAAAAGUUAGAAAGCAAGCCCUCAUAUGAGGUGGUCUCAUUAUCAUGGUGGUCCUGCAAGGUAAGGUUUAUUAACAAUAGGAAGGAUACAAAGUGUUUGCACUAGAUUUCAGUCAUUUAGCCUCAGGACUUUCUAUAUGUUAUCAUGUGUUUGUUUGCAUUCAAAAUCUUAGGUUGUUAAUGAAUAAAUAGAAUGACUAGAAACAAUCAUAUUGCAGCUGUACUAGAAACAAUAAGAAAAGGAAAAAUCAGAAAAAGAAGUACACUUUAGAUUUAUGGUUAAGAACUUUCCACUAUUGCCAGUCUUCUCAACCAGCACACCAAACAGGACAGGACAUCUUAUUUCUAUUACAUGCAAUGUUGUUUAUACGGUAGUUAAUAACAGAAUAUACUGCUGAUAGAAGAUCCUGUAAAAUUGAUUAUUUACACAAUUAAUAUUAAUUCUUUCUCUUUCAUUCGCUUUUCAAAUAUAGAGAGUAACACUCUCUCAUACAUGACUUACCUUGUAUUACCUAAUAGAGACUAGUUAAAGUGAGCAGAAAAGCUUUCUGUUUAUGCACCAUCAACAAGAGUCCAUUCUAAAAUGCACUUUCGCUAAAAGUUCAUAUAGAAUCAUUUCCACAAACUUCAGAAGUAAAUUGACAGUAACUGAUGACUAAUAUGUUGUGAUUUUACUAAGCUUCCAAGUUUUCAUAACUCUACAUCGACAACUGUUAAAACAGUUUUGCACUUAAAACAUAGACUAUAGCUAGGCUCAAGCUACAUAUCUCAGGAGGUAAAGUAGCUUUAGUAUCUGAAAGAAAAUACGCAGAUACAAUUGAUGUGACCCCAAGUGAUGUAACCUCAAUUGAUUGGUCCCAAAUUAUAUGCUUACUUUCUUCAGAUGCUCUUCUAAAUUAUUCUAGGGUAGAUAAUAGGAAAAUUGAUUAGUCAUUAUACUCUGUUAGUUGAGGCUUUCAAACAAAAAUCUACUUGUUUAUCACCAACUUGUUCAUAAGCUUAAAAUAUUACGGUAUCACACAUUGAUAGGGCCUUGCAAACGGUCAGUGGACGUAUUACUACAUUUAGUAUUAGCCAAUGAAUGAGUUCGUUGGAUAUAAGUUCAUUGUACAUCCACCACAUAACAAAGAAUUAAUAUCUAGUUUAUUCGCCAGAUGAACCACGCUUAAAAUAUUACUGUCUCACACAUUGAUGGGGCAUUGCAAAUGGUCAGUGGAUGUAUUACUAAAUUUAGUAUUUGCCCAUGAAUGAGUUCGUUGGAUAAAGUUCACUGUACAUCCACCACAUAACAAAGAUUUAAGGGGCAAUUUCAUCACUACCCCUCUCAAAUAUGUAAAUAUCAUAGAUACCCCUGCAAAGUUGAAAAUAUCAUAUAUACCCCUUCAAAUGCAAAAAAUUUUCACAAUUACCCUUUCUUCUAACUGCUGUUACUAUAACCAUGGUUAAAGUUUGGUUAAAUAAAGGUUGAGUUACAAAAUGACUAAUUUAGCCCUAAAAAGGUUAGGUGAUAUUUUGAUAGCAAAUAAUUAAGGGGCAAUUUCAUUAAGUACCCUUCUAAAUUUUAAAAAUAACAUCUCUAGCACUAAUUAUUAGUGCGUAAAAAAUAAAAAAACCCCUCACCUAUAGAUCAUUUGAGAUUCCUCACAUGAAUUUGAUAAAAUUUUUAAUUUUGUUGGUGCGGGGGUCUAUUUGAGUUUUAUUUCUUUUUGACUAUCAAAUUCAANAAAAAAACCCCUCACCUAUAGAUCAUUUUGAACUAGACCCCUUUAAGUUUUAUUUUUUAACAUUAAGAGACCUUGAACUAUUAGUUUUUCUUUAUUUUGACUUUACUUAGUUAAAAGUUUUUUAAUUGAGAUUCCUCACAUGAAUUUGAUAAAAUUUUUAAUUUUGUUGGGAAAAACACUCAAUUGCUAAAAUUUUUAAAAAAACACUUAGGUUGAGAGGGUAUAUAUAUAGAGAGUUUUGUUAUAAUACUAUCGGUAGUACAACUUGAUUUACUACGAUUUGUUUUCAAUGAUAGAAUUUCCAAAUUGACAAUCGGCACCGUUAAACAUGAUAUAAACCAUUUAAACUAUCUGAAAGUUAAAUCUCAUGCUUUUUCGAGUUAGGAUUAUGUCGAAGUGGACUAUAGAUGAGAGGGUUUUCAUAAAAUUUUACUUUAUUGUUAACAAUAAAUUUUCAAUUAAAAAUUUUUUGUUUGAGCAGAUCAUAUAAGUAAUACUCUAAUAUCGAGAAUUUUGAUAUCAAAAUAUUUUUAGCAUGAGAUAUGUGAGUUAUUUAAAUAAAAUUUUUAAAAUUAAAUCUUUAAAUAGUUAAUGUUGAAUUCUACUAUGGACAAAUUGCAUUAUAAUUAUGUAUAAUUUAAAAGCGAAAAAUCAUAAUGAGAUUUAACUAUUACACUUAAUAGACUAUAGAUCUUUAAUUGAAAUAUUUUAAAAAUAAUGUUAAAUUAUUAUGUGAUUCAAAUGUUAAAAAUUGAUCAGAUAAUUAAUCUUAAAUAUUACAUAUUUAAAAUGUUGCUAGGGGUAAAAUUGGUAUUUAUAAAAUAUUGGAUGACCACUUGACGGAAAGUGAACCUAAAAGGUAUCUGUGAACAUUUUUGGUUUUAAGAGGGGUAUUGAUGAUAUUUUCUAGUUUAGAGGGUUAUUCAUGAAAUUAUAAUUUUUCAAAGGGGUAUUGAUGAAAUUAUCCCAAGAUUUAAUAUCUAGUUUAUUUGCCAGAUGAACCACGCUUACAGAAGUUAUGAACAAUGAAGAGGAAACCAACGACUUAAUUUGUGGAAAGAGGUUUCUGAUUCACAAGGUCCUUUGAAAACUAUGCCAUUCCCACCGACUGUUGUAAUACACAAUAACAAAUUCAGCUGUCAUACAAGCACGAGAUUUUGCUUGAACUGGACAAAAUUGCUAUUUCGAAAAGUCUAUACUUGCAGUUCUUAUAAAAACUUGAUAAUUGAUUGUUAUAGAACAUGCAAUUCUCAGAUGUUGUAUUUGUUAGAUGAAAAUUGUAUGUUUUGAGAAAAAGAUGAAAAUUGUAUUUUGAUGGCCAAGAAUGAAGGGCAAAGUUAUAGUGCGAAUUCGGAUAAGAUUAACUGCAUGGCAAUGGAUCAAUGCAGCUGUGAAAUUGUUGCAUCUCUUCUGUUUUCAUUAUCCUCUAAACAAUUGAUUCACAAUACUCUGCAAUUGCCAUAUAAGUUUGUCUUCAGGUUUUUUAAGUUUGUUAUGGCAGGCAAGCACAGAGUUCUGGAAGAAGUAGGAAUAUUAGCCCUGUAAAACAUAUUUUAAGAAGUGGAGAUAUAGUGUAUAUCUUAUGAGAUCAUCCUAGUCGGAUACUCGAAUGAAAUUACUCAACCAAAAGAUGGUGAAAGAGAGCAACCACGUAAACAAGCUCCUAACUGUAUGAUCAAACUUCUAAAUAGACUAAAGAUUUGACACCACUUAUUAGCCAAAAUAAAGCAAUAGAAUUCUAUUAAGUAUACAAGCCACGUGCGACUUUCAGCUUUACACUAGUAAUAAAUUGCAAGUAUUGUUAUUUUUUAGCCGUUAAUUUAUCUGCAAAUCAAGGUCCAAACUAUGUAAACUUAGUUCAGGGACCAAAAAUCACUCCAAAUAGCAACCACUUAUGUGCAUUAUAAUACUUCCAUCAAAAGCAUUGGCAUUUCCAAUCAGCUUCCUGAUUGAAAUUAAAAUGAGUUAUGCUUCCAAGCAGUUUAUUCCAUCAUUUCACAUAUUAAAGCAAUUCACAAUAAAAUACAAGGGACCAUACGAUGCAAUCCGGUGUUUGUUAGAGCAUAGGCUUUCUGUAUUUGUAAGCCAUGGGCCACAUAUCAUCACUUAAUAUUCAAUUUCGCUGACUGAAUGAUACUUAUGUAGCAAUUAAAUUGAAUAUAAAGUGCUGAGUGUUCCACAGACCAUGAAAGAGCUAGACUCUGCCGAGCUCUCAACAUCAUGUUCUGGUUGAUAUUUUUAAAUAUUUAUCAAUUUGAAGUCUGGUCGACAUAUCACUGAACGGCGAAUCAGACAGAGUCCUGCAAUCGAUUAGUUACUAGCUAAGUAAAGUCUCCUCUAGAGUAUCCAAGCUUAGGAAAAACAUUUCAAUCCCAACAUUUUAAAACCGUGAUGAAUCUCAGGAGGGCAACUGCGGCAGUAUAUUGUCUCCAUUGAAAUUGAAUUGUUCAGGGCUGAUGAGGCAACACACGAUGGUUUGACAGAACAAAUCAUUCUGCCGAAUGGCAGCCAACAAAGUGAGUCCAUCUUGAAACUAGGGUAACACAUAUAGAUAGUCCCUAUACUAUCCCAGUACUGCAACUGGGCUCCUGCAGUUUCCACCUAAACAAUUUAGUCAAUAAACUUUCAACUCUAUUGCGCUCGGGUCCUUGAUCAGUUGAUCGCUAAAAAUAUUUGAAAAAAUUUUAGUGUAUGGAAUGAACUCAAGUGUGCAUUCAAUUCCCAAGGAGGAUCAUGAAUAGGUCAACAACAAGCAUGGAAUAACAAAUAAAAACCAGGGUUUAUAUAAAAUAAGAUUAAUCUGAAAGAAUAGUGAAGUGCCCAAAUAAAACAAACUGAUACCUGGUUAAUCAAACAUGCAACAAGGCAGAAAAUUCAGAGUAAAAAAGAACUAAUUAUCAUUGUCCUGCUCCGUAACUUCUGAAAUGUUUACACUGCCUAAUCGUUCGUCCUCCGGUAUAAGACACCAAUUUGGCGACUGCACCGCCCGCAACCACUUGAAAUCAUCCACAUUUGCCCAAUUUUCUGUUUCCACUCCGAGUCCAGAAACUCUGAGCUCUUCAUCAAUCCCUUCAUAAAACAACCGAUACGGCGCAAAUCUCACCCCACUGCAGUCCUCUAUGAUCGGCCUGCUUCGAACACGGAGAUAGAAAUCAGCCACCGUGGCUUGGUGAAUCCUGAUCUGAUGGGAGGCCAACAUGAACACACAAUUGCUUGCCUCCUCUAUGAGGAUAGAUCCAAGAACAGGCCCAGCAAAAACGUUGCAAUCUUUAAGCCGAUGCACAAAGAGUGCCCGAAACCGGCCUUUGAGGUAAACUUUGCAAGAUUCGAGAUUGGCUAGGGUGAAAUCCCCUUCGUCUUCUUCGGAAGCCCUGAAUUUCUUCACCAAAACUGCACCUUUCUCGUUCCUGAACCCCGGCGUGUCGCGAACGACCGCAAGAUUUGAUUUUUCCUCAUCUGGGACUUUUCUCUCGUCGAUUUCUUUCACCAAAGUGGCGGAUUCCUUCUUUGGGGCUUUGUUCCUGAAGGAGAACUUCUUCCUCGGAAGAAGCUCCGAAUUGGCGACCUCCAACGCCUCCUUGAGAUCGGAGAUCGCCUUAAGGGAGGAUCGAACCUCGUAGGACGGGAGGAAGUAGGAGUUCUCGGCGAGGAGGCGCUCGAGAUCGGAGAUGGAGGCGGAGACCUUCUCGAGCUCGGGCUUAAUGGCGGGGGCCGAGCAGAUAUCGGCGGCGGCGGCGGGGGCGGCGCCGCGGCACCGGGCGAGGUCGCUCUCUAUCGAUCGCCUCAACUCGGAGAAGCGAUCGAGGAACGCGGCGACGGAGUCGAAGGAAGGGGACGCGGCGGAGGCGGAGCGGCGCGCGGCGGAUGCGUGGAGACGGGAUUGGUGGUGGUUGGAGAUGCGCUCGAGCAUUGCGGCGUGCUUCCGCUGCGCGAUCGGAUCUAGGGUUUGGGUCGAAGGAGGCGGUCCCUCUUCCGCCAUUGUCGAUGCGCAGUGAAGGGCGGCAGAGAGAGAGAGAGAGAGAGAGAGAGAGAGAGGUGAGGAUGGUCGGUGGAAGAAGAAAGGCUGUAAUGGGUCGGAUCUGUCCGGUUUUUUCCGUUGACCACAAUCGGAUUGAUCGAACCCGACCCGUUUGAUGAAAUUUGGUCGGACCCAAAAAUUGUCGCUAAGUUUCGAAUUUGAUCACGAUUUGGAAACUGAAUCCGAUCACAAUUAGGAUGAUUCCGAUUUGUUUCCUAUGCCAAGGAUUUUUUUAGUGAGACAGUACAGUAUGCUCCAAAGUUUCAUUAUAGAUCUGACACAUUUUAAUAAAAUUAUUGAAUAGACUAGAUAUUAAUCAUCAAAUUUUUUAUUAUUUAUUAUGUUAAAAACUACCGAUAAGUGUUAUAGAUACUCUGAAUAACUUUGGCAAUGAAUAUUCAGAUAAAUUCCUCAAAAAAAAAUUCAAAAAAAUUGUUAGAUAGAUUUGUACAUCCAAGUAAAGUAAACCGUGGAAGUCAAAUGACAUAAUAGAAUCAAACAAACAACAAAAUCAAACCGCACAAAUCACAGCAAAUUCACAAUCUGAAGGCUCUCUAUGCACGACACGUGGAAGUAGAUCCCAUCACUGCCGUUGGUAAACCAUCCGCAGGACUGAGCCAGGGAUACUUUUCAAUUCGUACGUUAUCAGACGCUAAUAAAGAAAGGAUAACACAACAUCAACAUGGUCUUUACGUCAAACGGUACACAACUGCCAAUAAAUUCCCGUCCCAACGAGCAAUCGUCGCAUGGACCCCGCCCUCUGUAGACCGGAUCUUCUCAGUUCAUAUGACAACUUCUCAAAGUAAUUAUGUUACAUUUUGAUUUAUCGAGCUUGACCGGGCUACUAUCAAUCGAUUUACUUUCCAUGAUGAUAGGGCUUUCAAAUCAACGACCGAUACUAUUGAACAUAAUCUUAAUCAUUUAAAUUAUCUAAAAAUUAAAUUUUAUAACGUUUUGACAUCAAUAAUCGAACGGUCAAAGAGUUACAAAAUCUAUAAUAUUUUUUAAAAAAAGAUAGCAUACUACUGCUUCAUUCAUUUUGAAGAUGAACUAGGCUAUAUGGUGAGGCAACUGGGUCUUAAGGAAAAAAAAAUUUAUAAUUUUAAUAGCCGAUACGGUACGUUUGCUCAUUUAACGGUAUAGAAAAAUCCAAAUCAAAUAAAUUUUUGUUAGAAAAUUUUUUAACUACUUAAAAUAAAAUCUAGACUGUAGAUCUUAAAUACAAAAAUUGUAUUAUCACUUUUUGAAGAAUAUUUAUUUUCAGUUAUUUAUUUUUUAUUCACUUGAUGAAUAAGAGAACAAUAUCUAAAUGCUUAGAUCAUGCUCGAUGGUGUCUAUCGUCAAUAUGAAAACUAUAGCAUUGAAAAUAAAUUGGUAGCAAAUCGAGUCGUUUACUACUUAUAAUAUUUUAGCAAAACUCUUGAUCUAUCUAUCCAUAUAUAUAUAUAUAGAUAGAGAGAGAGAGAGAGAGAGAGAGAGAGAGAGAGUCCGGCUACUAUACUAUCAAUAGCACAAAAUAGUUGGUGCUACUAUGUUUUCUACCAUUAACCGACCGUCCCAAAUUCGAAAUCCAGUUGCUUCACAUUUCUAACUAAAUUUAUUUAUAAAAGAAAUAAACGAAAUAGAUAGUAUGCUACCUUUCUCUCAAAGAAAAAAAUUCUACUGUCGGAUAUACCCCUUUAAUUAUUUUCAUCCGUUAAAUCAUACUAUUUAACUAUUCACUCACUCAAUUCUAAGGGACUACUAAAAUGUUGUCUUUAUGUAUGUCGUUGAUUUAUUACAUACACGAUAUUCUAAGUUUGAUGCCUAUGCAUUAAGUUUAAAAUGUUAUAUAAAUUGGGUAAAUUGCAUUGUUACCCUCUAAACUUUUGGCGAAGUUUCACUUACCCCUCGAACUCCUAAAAUGGAUAUCUAACACCCUAAAUUCUAAUAUUUUAUUCAUGUUACCCAUUCCGUCAGUUUUCCGUCAUGCUUCGUUAAUCGGAAACUAACGGAAGGGGUAAAACGAAUGAAAUAUUAGAGUUUAGGGUGUUAGGUGUCUAUUUUAGGAGUUUGGGGGUUAAGUGAAAUUCGUCAAAAGUUCAGGAGGUAGCAGUGCAAUUUACUCUGUAGGACUCUUGAUUAUAAAUUAUUUUAUUAUAAUAUGUUAUUUAUGGAUUGACUACUAAUCCUCAAGUUAGUGAUCAUACUUGAUUUUGAAUUUAUAUAUAUUUUGUAUUCUAAAAUAAAUCAUACCAUAAUUUAUCAUAUAUUUUAUUGUAAUAAAAUAAAAUCGAAAAAAAUGAAUUAGAGUGGCUUAAAUAUAAGAAAAGAGCGAUACUAACUACCUACAAUACUCAAACACUCUACUGUCCUGGUGUACUCGCUAAUAUGGUUGAUUUACAAUAUGGGCAUGUUUGGUUCGCUUCUUUUUCAUCCUGGAAUCAGAAUCGGAAUGGAUAAAUCCGUUUGUGGGUGUUUGGUACGCGAGAGUCUCAUUCCGAUUCCGAUUCCGAUUCCGAUUCUUGAGUGGAAUAAGAAUCCCCCAAUCACCUCUUUUUUCAAUCCGACCUAGGAGGCCGGAUUGAAAGUUGAAUCCGGACGGAAUGAAUAUUUAUUCGGAUUAAAUUUAUUUUUUCAACUUUUUAAAUUAAAAUAUGAGUUAAAAUUUAAAAAUUAAAUAUAUAAUUUUAAAUUUUAAUUUAAACUUAAAUUAAAAAUUAAAAUUUAAUCAAGUAUUUCGAAUCUAAUUUAUGAAUUUGAAUUUAAAUUAAAUUUUAAUUUAUAUAAAGUUUUAUUCAAAUUUUAUUUCAAACUUAAAUUAAAUUUAUGGAUUCAAAUUAAAAUUUAAAUUGUAAUUUUAAGUUUAAAUUUGAAUAAAUUAAAAUUUAGUUUCAUAUUUUGAAUUAUCCACUCAACUUUAAAGUUUAAUUUUUUUUUGAAACAAAUAGAUUUAAAAUUUUGAUAUUAUUUUAAAAUUUUGAUGUAAAUUUUUAAUUUGAAUUUAAAUUAAUAUAUUAUAAAGAUAAUGUUAGUAUAUUAAUUUGAUUAUGUUUUUUAUAUCCAUCUGAACCAAAUAUCGACAAUGGGAAUGAUUUAUUCCGAUUCCGAUUCAGGUGAUGAACCAAACAAAAUUAGGGAAUCAGUCAUUCCGAUUCCGAUUCUAGCUUAUUUUGAUUCCGAUUCCAAUUUCGACUCCGACUUCGAACCAAACACGCCCUAGGUGUCCUCACUUAGAUAUAGAGAUUUUAAUUCUCAGUUAAUUUUCUAUAGUACUUGUUUGUCCCUUUAUCUAUAGAAGUAUUGUUCUAAAAAAUGCACUUAUUUUCUAUGAAACUAUACAAUGUAAUUUUAUUGUAGCCUAAAAUAAAAUUUUUGUACUUUAUUUCAGCGAAUUAAAAAUUUUUAAUAUAAAAAAUAUAAAAUAAUAUUUUAUUAGAAAAUGCACUUAUUUUCUAUGAAACUAUGCAAUAUAAUUUUAUUAUAGUCUAAAAUAAAAUUUUUGUACUUCAUUUCAGCCAAUUAAAUUUUUUUAAUAUAAAAAUAUAAAAUAAUAUUUUAUAAUAAUUUAGAACAAUGCUUAUAAAGAUAAAAGAGAUAAAUUAGUACUAUAGAAAAUUAACUGAGAAUUAAAAUCUCUAUAUCCGAGUGAGGACACCUAUUGUAAAUCAACCAUAUUAGCGAGUAUAUCAGGACAAUAGAGUGUUCGAGUAUCGUAGGUAGUUAGUAUCGCUCUUUUCUUAUCUUUAAGCCACUCUAAUUUAUUUCUUUCGCUUUUAUUUUAUUACAAUAAAAUGUAGAAUAAAUUAUGAUAUGAUUUAUUUUAGGACAAAAAUUUAUAUAAAUUCAAAAUCAAGUAUGAUCACUAACUUGAGGGUUAGUAGUUAAUUUAUAAGUAAUAUAUUAUAAUAAAAUAAUUUAUAGUCAAUAGUGCCUAGGGGGUAAAUUGCAGUGCCUUUAUCUAAUAUUUCAUUCAUGCUACCUCCUGAACUUUUGAGUUUUACUUAACCCUCAAAACUUUUAAAAUAGACAUCUAACACCCUAAACUCUAAUAUUUCAUUUGUUUUACUCUUUCCGUCAGUUUCCGGUUAACGGAACUUGACGGAAAACUGACGGAAGAGGUAACAUGAAUGAAAUAUUAUAGUUUAAGAUGUUAGACAUCCAUUUUAGAAGUUCGAAGGGUAAAGUGAAACUUCGCCAAAAAUUCAGAGAGUAACAAUACAAUUUACCCUAUAUAAAUUUGUCAAUAUUCCGGCAAUGCAUAUAGCUCAAUUAAAUGCACUUAUAUACUAUCCAAAUAUUUUAUAUUCCCCUUAGCUGUUGUAGAAAAGGUUAGGAAGUUAGAGUUGUGCUGGUAUGCUCAUGGAAGCACGGAGGCUUUCGUGCUUCCAAGUUAUUUUCGAUGUUCGGACUUUCGAAUGGACGAUCAGCUCCGUUAGAGUUGAUCUAGAGUAUUUGAAGUAUCUAGAAAAUAAAUUUUGCGAUUUUUCGAUAUCAUUUGCCUAGUGAUCGAAGGGGCUCAAAAUCAAUAAUUUUAACGGCCGUGGUGAGCCGGUUGCAAGUUUAACGGUGUAGAAAUAUCCAAAUCACAUGAAAUUUUGAUAGAAAAUUUUUUAUACCAUAUAAAACAAGACCAAUAACUUUGAUCUAAAAUUUUAAUGUCAUAUCAUCAUAUUUUGUAAGAUUUUUAUUUUCAGCCGUUGAUUUUGAGCCACUUUGAUCACUAGGCAAAUAAUAUCGAAAAAUUGUAAAAUUUAUUUUCUAGAUACUUCAAAUGCUCUAGAUCAAGUCUAACGGAGCCAAUCGUCGAUUCGAAAGUUCGAACAUCGAAAACAAAGUGGAAGCACGGAGCUCUCCGUACUUUCAUAAGCAUCCUAGCCGCACUUAGGAAGUUAAUGAGUCAGUGGGAGAAUUUCUGCAAGUCUUUCUGAAUUUUUGUUUUUGUUUCGAGCCUUUGUCGCCUCAUUUUUAUAGCUAAAGUUUAUUAAAACAAAUAAAAUGGAUAGUAUACUAUAUUUCUACGAAAAAAAAAAAAACUUAAACGAUUUUGUGUAAAAAAAAUGUGUAGAUAUAUUAUUUAUAUAUCAAGUGGUUGUGAAAAAAUGAAUGGUAGGGAGAGAAUUUCUAAUAAUUUUUAAUGUCUAAUAGUUGGAAUUUUCAUGUUAAAACUUCAUGAAUUAGUGAGUUUCAAAAAGCCCCGGUCUAUAGACCGGGUCCAUACAGUAGCUUUCUCGUCAUCACUUUCACUCUUUCGGUCAUUUUACCCCGUGUAUAUCAUGAGCACGCCACAAAAGUCAAACCGAGGAAGAGUCUUUAAUUUGUGGCUAUUUUUCACUUGCUUACUUAUUAUUGCAAUUUUAAAUCCUUUUUCGUUGUUAGCUCUUUUAUCCUUUUAAUUAGAAAUUUCACAUCCACUUAAAACAAAAAUAAAAUAAAAAUAAAAUAAAAAGUUUUUUUAGAGAACGGUAUAAUACUAUAAUUGUAUUUUUAAAAAACAUAAACUUAGCUUAAAAAACAAAAAGAAAUUUGGUGUUAGAUUGUGUUACGGACGGUGGGUGGUAAAUAAAAUAAAAAGUUGAAUUGAAUACUCCGCCGAAAAUCCAACUGUUUCUUCAACUCUCAUCCUAGUUCAAAAUUGUGAUGCUUUGAAUACAAUUAUAUUUUUAGUUUCUUUUCCACACUUUCACACAAUAGUUGAAGAAGAAGAGUAUAAGCGAAUCCUAUCUUUUGCUUUUCAACUUACCUUAUCUCAACUCUGAGGAAUUGGUAAGUUCUUAAAUAACUUAUAUCUAUACGUUUUGUUCUGUUUUGUUCUCUAUAUAUGUAAAGAUAUGCAAUUUUGGUGGUUUGAGGUGCAGGAAGUGGAUUUCCGUGAAGAAAUCGAGGUUUUGAGAAGUGGGUUGUGGUCAAAAUCGCUUCUGUUGGAUUGGGAGGACGUGUAUAUUUUGAGAAUUUAGCAGGUGGAGAGAGGAACACGAGUGUUUCUAUGGCGAAAUUAUGUUGUUUCAAGGGUUCGUCCUUAAAGGUUAGAAAUUGUUUUCUAUGUUAAUUGAACUAUUAUUUUGGUUCUCUUUUGAAUUGGGUUUAUGAUAUAUGGUCUUUAAAUCCAACAAAUAGUAGUAUAUAUAUAUAUAUAUAAUAUAUAUUAUUUGUCCUGUUGUUUGAGAUAAACCAAGCUUUGAUUGGAUUCAAGUUUCCUCUUUUCUAUAUAUUAUAUAUAUAUUAUAUAUAUUUUUUUUUUUUUAAUUCUUCUACUAUUUUAGGUGAAAUUGAAAUUUUUAUUCGAUUUAGUUUUCAACUCAUCCUCUUUGUUAGGAUGAAAUAAUAUAUGAUGACAGUAAUACAGAGAAUAAGAGUCAAUAAUUCGAAGCGGGUAGCGUGCUACCCUUUCCUCAAAAAAAAAAAGAAAAAGAAAAAGAAAAAAAGUUCGAAGCUUGGUUGCUUCAUUUUAUUUCUAGUUGUGUUUAUUUUAAUUUUUUUUUGAGAAAAGUUGUGUUUAUUUUUUUGAAGAAAUGAACGAAAUGGGUAGCUUGUUAAAAAAAUGGUCAAUAAAUAGGAAAAGAUUCUAUAAUAUAUUCUAAUGGUAGAGUUGUUUGACGUGGUUUUGUAAAUGUUGCUGAACAUUUAACUUUUGUUUAAAAUUUUCACUCUUAGUCUAUAUAAUUUUGUGUUAGCCAUCAAUUUUUUUUCCAGAGUAUAAAGUUCUACAUUUUUUUUUUUUUUUAAAUCUCAUGAUGAGUUCUAUCUCAAGUGAUUCCUGAUGCUAUGAAUAUGACAAAUAGUUAAAUUCAGGCUAAUUGGAGUUCCCUACAUGAAUAUCUAGAUGCUGUACAAUUAAAAUUUAGUGCCAUGAAUUCAAUACUCUGCGGCUUUGGAUUUGUAAUAUAUUUGCCCAUCACUCACAGCAGUAUACAGCAUAUUAUCUCGUUACAUUCGACAAUAGACGAUAUAUUCUUCCUUAACUUUUGUAUAGUUGAUUAAUCAUACUUGAUGAACUCCUCAUAAUCCUUUGUUUCUUCAUUUUCUUCGUGCAUUAGCCUCUGGAUGAUUCUUAUUUUCUAAAGUGGAACAAAAAAACAUCAAUUUUGAAUUGCAUAUUUUGGCAGAGCCCAAGAUUGGUGACUAGUUUUUAAAUGUGUACUUGAGAUGAACUGCAUCUAUUGGCAGAGUUCAGAUUUACCAAAAUGCUGUCGUUGUUGCGAUUAAGCCAAAAUGCUGGCUGAUUUUGAUGUUACAUCGGCAAGCUCAGCUCAAUGCAUUGUUAGCUUUGACACAGGUCGACAAAUAAAUGAUAUAUAAGAGCAGAUGCAAUACUCUUUCAUGAGCUGAAGUAAGGUUCUGGCUUUCUAUUUUGUAGUUAAAAGGUCGUUCUUCGACAGAUGGUGGUAAAGGGAAAAGCAUUCAAAGUGAAGUAAAAGUUAAUUAUGGAUACAGCCUUGUAAAAGGAAGGGCAUAUCAUCCCAUGGAAGAUUACCACGUCGCUAAAUUUGUACAUAUGAAGGGAAAUGAGAUUGGUCUCUUUGGUAUCUAUGAUGGCCAUCUGGGAAAUAGAGUAGCAGCCUAUUUACAAAAGCAUCUAUUUGCCAAUAUUCUGAGGGAGGUAUGCUGCUACUACUCUUUUGCUCUUUAUUUAUUUUUUGGUGGUUCUGUGAAAAUGUAUGGGCCCCCCUUCUGGUAUUUGCUAACAUGUGCGACAACUUUGGCGUUUUGGAUAUGAACCUUUCAAUUAACAUGUUCUUUAAUUCCAGAAAUUUCGUCAGGUUCCAUUCAGAACUUGACAGUUUCUGUCAAACAAGUUACUGAUUAUUCCAAUAAUUAAAGUGAUAUUCUGCAAUCAUACACAAUAUUCCAUCAGAAAGUAACAAAGAUUGUCAAGUUCUGGAAUUUUCUGCAAUCGAACUGCACAUUAAGUUGGAAUCCAAAAAAACUAAAGCUCAGCGACGUGUUCCUUUAAUGGUCGGCUGUUUUUUGCCUUUUCUUUUGCGUAGAGAUGAAAACAGAAUUGCUUGGAAGGAAAGGGAAAAGUGAACUUAAUUUAUCAUUUACUUUGCUGUAGGAAGAGUUUUGGACCCAUCCAGAGCAAGCCAUUUUAAAAGCCUAUGAAAAGACCGAUGAGGCGAUACUUUCACAUAGUGUGGAUCUGGGACGAGGUGGAUCUACUGCUGUUACUGCCAUUCUAGUAAAUGGUAGGAAGCUGUGGGUAGCUAAUGUUGGCGAUUCACGAGCCGUUCUUGCAAAAGGUGGAGAGGUGAUACAGUUGACAGUUGAUCAUGAACCAAGCACGGAGCGUAAAACUAUUGAGACAAGAGGGGGCUUUGUUUCAAACUGGCCAGGUUUCUUAAUCCAUUAAACCAGCUCAAAUCUAGUUUUCUUUGCACUUUGAUAAUGCAUUCUUAUUGGAGAAAUGAUGAAGAUGUUACUUCAUUAAAGAGUUAGUAAAAGAGGAAGAAUAAUUUACCACAAUAAUUAUUUGUGCCUCCAUGUUCCUCGAUAUGAAAAUAGUCGUUCACGAAGAAAUUGAGUGUUAAAAUUUUUUCUUUUCUUUCCAGAAUUUGCUAUGAACUUGUUGGUCUUUCUGUCACCUAAUGAAUCUCGACAAUUUUCCAUUUUUGCUGUUUUUUGUCGCUUGAAAGUGGUGCGGAGUCGUUGUCUUUUCGAUUGUUCAACAAACACUGCACCCGAUAACAAGAAAUUCUAUUUUUGUUCUUUAUCAGGAGAUGUCCCAAGAGUUGAUGGCCAGUUAGCCGUUUCUCGUGCAUUCGGAGACAAGAGCCUCAAGUCACACUUGAGGUCGGAUCCGGACAUACAGUUUGAAGAUACAAGUGCUGGUGCCGAGGUACUUAUUCUUGCUAGCGACGGCCUGUGGAAGGUUUGCUUCUUUAAACUUCAUGCCGCAAUAAACCAAUUUAUAUUUGUUAUGAAAUCCUUUCAGCGAGAGAAGAUAGUUAGUUACUCUUGCCAAUUGUACUUCAGGUCAUGAAAAAUGAAGAAGCAGUGGAUAUUGCUCGAAAGAUCAAAGAUCCACAGGCGGCAGCAAGGCAAUUAACCAAGGAAGCAAUAAAUAGAGAAAGCAAGGAUGAUAUAUCGUGCAUUGUUGUUCGACUUGGGGAAUAAUAAAGAGCUUAGCCUCUUUUUUUCCCCUCUUACCUCUUUUGUAAAUGAUUCUUUCGUCUAUUUUAUUGUUGGUGGGUCCUUAUUGUUUGAUUGCUUAAGGGAAACUUUCAUUUGGUUUUACUAAGAUUAAAGGAAUAGGAAAGAUAAUGGUUGGUGGAACUGUUUACCUUUUCUCCUGAUGUAUUGUUGAAAGCUUGUUGACCAUCUUGUUCUCUUCUUCUUUUUUUUUCUUUUUUUGUUAAAUAAAUGCCUCCUUUUUCUUCUUUUUUUUCCUUUUUCCUCAAAAGCCGUUUGCUCUGAUGCUUGAUUUAUCAAAUGAGAAACCUCUUGCAAUAGAAACUAGCCUAUACUGCAAUGUCUGAUGGAAAGGUGGCGGCGGAAUUCGAUAAAUGUUAAAUUUGCGUUACUAAAUUGACAAUUAUAGACAGUAUAAGAUCAGAGCUUAACAGAAAUUGAAUAAAGAUUUCAUUAGGACUUUUGUGAAUCUGAAAUGGCUCAUAUAGCAAUUUAGGAACUAUCCUCUCAGUGAAAAUAGUAUAAUAAGAACCAGAACUACGACAAACUUGUCAAUAUAAUGUGGUUUCUGAGAGUGGCCAAUUUGUUUUUACAUUUUGAUUAUGUAGAAUUUUGUAGGUUUUGUUUAAACUCCCAGGAAAACAUGAUUACAUAGAAUCUUUACAUUGGCAGGUCAUGCAUUAGGGUGCAUAUCACUCACCACUCUUAGUUCGAAGAGAUGAGAAAAUAAUGAUCACAUAACCAAUGUCCAAAACCCCUCAAAAGUAUAAUCCAUGUCGAAUCAUAGUUUGAUUUACUAUGCUCAUUAACUGCACGAAUACCUCUAAGUAGCAUAAUUGACAUAACCUCUGAUGAAGUUAGAUGUGCAAUGACAUAACCUCUGAAAUAUAGUGUCAUCCAAUUUAAUCACAUUACUUUCCAUCCCUCAGAUGAGAAAAAAAGAAAAACACUUUACAGUACAAUUUCCUUGCCUCUAAAAUUUAUUCCUAUCUCCCACCAGACAAUUCAAUAGCUUCCUGGUGAGACAUGGAGUCCUCUCCCCAGUUUACUCUCCACUGCAUUCUAUCAUGAUCCUGCUUGCGAGCAAAUUCAUGUUGCCACUCCUCCCACCGCUCGGCGAGUCCUUCCCCUUCAAGCAUCCGGACAACUUCUGACAUAGUCGGCCGCUGCUCUGGCGAAGCUUGCGUGCAAAGAAGAGCAAUCUGAAUCAUUGUAUUUACGUCCUCGAUUUCAUAGUUGUUGCUCAAAUUGCGAUCGACAAUGGACUCGACCCGUCCUUCCUUCAGCAGCUUCUUCACCUUUGACAUGCACAAGAAUGUACACAAUCAGUAUAUAUUUCACAUACAACCUCGUACAAACAAGAAGGUAAAAUUUAAUCUGGCAGCAAGGGAUGUCUCGAUUCCCUCUAGAGUAAUCUUCUUUCCGCUGAGGCGCUAUAACUGGAAAAGUGUCACUACAUGCACAAGCCAGGCACUUCACAGCAUAAGUGCUUUAGAGCUUGCGAGGCAAGCUUAAACAGGCUUUUGGACCUCACAAGCACAGUUUGGCAUGAAGGUGUUGAGAAAUUUAAAGGUAAAUUGUAUGCGAAGUCCCUGAACCAUCCUGAUAUUGUGAUUCACUCGUUGGCUUUUCACUUAGACGCUCGUCUCCUUACUUUCUUAUAUAUAGCAACUUCAACCCGGUCACAAAAGGGAAAAAAAGAAAAUCGAUUGUGUGCUGAAUUUUCUCAUACAUAUAGCAUUUUCUCACUUUUUCAUAUACUUUUGAAGUAUAUUGAAACACGAGGAAGUUGCUUUGUAGGAGAACAGAACAAAUGGUCACUUUGCAGGAAAAACUGAGACUUUUCUGACAGAAGGAUGGAACAGCAAUAACAUGGGAAACUCGAGAGGGUGAAGCUGCUCGAGCUUCUUCAAAAGCUCUUCUUCGCUCUUCUUCAACAGCACUUAUGUGGAAGUUGUAGCUGGAAUAGGCAGGUUUAGAGGUAAUGACACAUGGUAAAAAGUUUGCUAUCAUAAGCAAAAAGUAGUACAUGUGUUGAAGUCUCUAUAGUUCUGAGGAAAACUAGGCUGUUUAUCUUGAUUUUAGUUUCAGGAGUAGAAUUAUUCUAUAUAGAUCUUACAAGGUCAAGCAGUAGAACAUCAUCCUCCUCAGGUCGAGAAAUAUCAAUGGCGCGCUGCCCUGUGACGAGCUCGAGGAGCAUGAUUCCGUAGCCGAAAACAUCAGUCUUCUCCGAUGACUUGCCGGUGGAUAGAUAUUCAGGAGCUAUGUGGCCCAUAGUACCCCUAACUUUUGUGGUCACAGAUGUCAUCUUUACGUCCACCAAUUUCGCCAGCCCAAAGUCCCCGACAACCGCCUCAAAGUUCUCGUCAAGUAAGACAUUCGCAGCUUUCACAUCACGGUGGAUGAUUUUGGGGUUGCAGUGUUCGUGGAGGUACUCUAAACCGCGAGCCGUUCCCAGAGCCACUAGUUUUCUUGUUGCCCAGUCUAACACUGGCUCGUUUGGUUUAAACUCUGCACUAUUCUAGUAGUUAAGAUGCAUAAAUUUAAAGAAACAAGCAUAUAGUAACUAAACAACCAGCUAAGAUGUGAGAGCUAAUAAAGCAAGACAUAAAGUACUUGAUGAGGCAAUAUAGAACUUUUAAUGAAUAUGGAGGAAAUUACAGUUCUCGUACGAGAAUCAAAUGAGAAUUUCAGGGAUCUUCUAAGAAUGUGCAGAGACCAACUCAAUUUCAGGGAUCUUCUAAGAAUGCACACUCCUAACUUUGAUUGAGUUAUUUCAAUGAGUUAAAUUAGGGAUUCCUUUCGAAGAGGUAUUGUUAAAUUUAACAGCUCGACUCCCAUUAACAGUAAACAGUUGAUGGCUAAUGGAACCGUUAAGUUUGAAUGAAUCCUCAGUUCAACUGAAAAAAGUUGAGCGGGCAUCAGUCAAAAAUUUAAGUUGUGGGGUAUAUAUCGAAUAGCCGAUAGCUGAGGGAGUCUUCAUACACCUGUUCCCUUCUUGUUUGGAAGGUUGAUGAAAGAAUUAGUACCUCGUAAACGGUAGGCGACACUCAGGUUUUCCAUAAAAGGAUAUACUAAAAGUCUCUCUGUGGGCGUUGUACAAAACCCAAUCAAUCUCAAGAGAUUUCUAUGAACCGCAACACUUAUCAACUCAACUUCACGCAGAAAAGUAGUUUCCCUGCCAGAGCUUUCUACGUCAGUGAAUCUUUUCACAGCAACUUUCCUAUUAUCUGCGAGUACUCCUUUAUACACCUUUCCGAAACCUCCAUGCCCAAGAACAUUUCUCUCAUUGAAGUCGUCAGUGGCAAUUUGCAGUUCUCGCCAAGCAAACCUUUUUAGCUGCCCGAAUGCAAUCUUGCGGUCAUCUUCGCCUAAGAAAUUUGACAUGAUAUAUUAGUCAAAUGAAGUUUAAAAAAAAAGAAACAUUCAUGUUUAACAAUCGAGUUUUUGAAUCACAUCAGGAUCUUAAAGCUGAUAAAGUAAGAAAAAAGCUUUCUCCUAUCCGGAAAGAUGAAUAUACAUGAGAAAAACUCGUACUCGUAAAGCUAAUGGUCAUCUGUGAAAAAAAUAUGAUGAUAGAAUUACAAAGAAGGUUGGUAAAUUAAAAAUGGCAAGAAAACAAGAACUAUUAGAUUGAAAGAUAACAAAACCAAAGUUCAGUAAAUGUCAAAAACUACUUUAGCUGGUCAGUGUAGGCGUGUAAAUUAACUCGAAUAUAGUUAAGCUAAACAAAACAUUCCUGUCAUGCAAUCAAAAUAAUGUAUAAAGGUUAGAGAACCUGGAACGUCGACAAAAAUUUCACGCUUAGAAUGCAUUCUGUUUCUCUUCCAUAAAAGAAGCAGAAUCCCCAUUGUAAGAAACCCUAUUACUCCACCGGUACUUCCAAGUACUACCCCAACUUUAGACUUGUGGGUUCCUCCUAUAAGAUUAAAGUGAAUGACCGUACGGUUUGAUAGCGAUAGCAAUCUCCGCAAUGGAGAAAUGCUUCAGAAGAUAAGAAGGA
rnacentral:lncRNA from 1 species